GGGGCAGGGUGAGUCGACCCCUAAGGCGAGGCCGAAAGGCGUAGUCGAUGGGAAACAGGUUAAUAUUCCUGUACUUGGUGUUACUGCGAAGGGGGGACGGAGAAGGCUAUGUUGGCCGGGCGACGGUUGUCCCGGUUUAAGCGUGUAGGCUGGUUUUCCAGGCAAAUCCGGAAAAUCAAGGCUGAGGCGUGAUGACGAGGCACUACGGUGCUGAAGCGACAAAUGCCCUGCUUCCAGGAAAAGCCUCUAAGCAUCAGGUAACAUCAAAUCGUACCCCAAACCGACACAGGUGGUCAGGUAGAGAAUACCAAGGCGCUUGAGAGAACUCGGGUGAAGGAACUAGGCAAAAUGGUGCCGUAACUUCGGGAGAAGGCACGCUGAUAUGUAGGUGAAGCGACUUGCUCGUGGAGCUGAAAUCAGUCGAAGAUACCAGCUGGCUGCAACUGUUUAUUAAAAACACAGCACUGUGCAAACACGAAAGUGGACGUAUACGGUGUGACGCCUGCCCGGUGCCGGAAGGUUAAUUGAUGGGGUUAGCGGUAACGCGAAGCUCUUGAUCGAAGCCCCGGUAAACGGCGGCCGUAACUAUAACGGUCCUAAGGUAGCGAAAUUCCUUGUCGGGUAAGUUCCGACCUGCACGAAUGGCGUAAUGAUGGCCAGGCUGUCUCCACCCGAGACUCAGUGAAAUUGAACUCGCUGUGAAGAUGCAGUGUACCCGCGGCAAGACGGAAAGACCCCGUGAACCUUUACUAUAGCUUGACACUGAACAUUGAGCCUUGAUGUGUAGGAUAGGUGGGAGGCUUUGAAGUGUGGACGCCAGUCUGCAUGGAGCCGACCUUGAAAUACCACCCUUUAAUGUUUGAUGUUCUAACGUGGGCCCCUUACCGGGGUUGCGGACAGUGUCUGGUGGGUAGUUUGACUGGGGCGGUCUCCUCCUAAAGAGUAACGGAGGAGCACGAAGGUUGGCUAAUCCUGGUCGGACAUCAGGAGGUUAGUGCAAUGGCAUAAGCCAGCUUGACUGCGAGCGUGACGGCGCGAGCAGGUGCGAAAGCAGGUCAUAGUGAUCCGGUGGUUCUGAAUGGAAGGGCCAUCGCUCAACGGAUAAAAGGUACUCCGGGGAUAACAGGCUGAUACCGCCCAAGAGUUCAUAUCGACGGCGGUGUUUGGCACCUCGAUGUCGGCUCAUCACAUCCUGGGGCUGAAGUAGGUCCCAAGGGUAUGGCUGUUCGCCAUUUAAAGUGGUACGCGAGCUGGGUUUAGAACGUCGUGAGACAGUUCGGUCCCUAUCUGCCGUGGGCGCUGGAGAACUGAGGGGGGCUGCUCCUAGUACGAGAGGACCGGAGUGGACGCAUCACUGGUGUUCGGGUUGUCAUGCCAAUGGCACUGCCCGGUAGCUAAAUGCGGAAGAGAUAAGUGCUGAAAGCAUCUAAGCACGAAACUUGCCCCGAGAUGAGUUCUCCCUGACUCCUUGAGAGUCCUGAAGGAACGUUGAAGACGACGACGUUGAUAGGCCGGGUGUGUAAGCGCAGCGAUGCGUUGAGCUAACCGGUACUAAUGAACCGUGAGGCUUAACCUU
rnacentral:rRNA from 1 species